CUGCUAGCGCCAUCUAUUCCAUCAGUAAGCGAACGAAUGUGUCCCCUGCGAGUGGCCUUACCGUUACCUUUCCAUGCAUUGCGCCUUCGCUGCGAAUUCUCUCCAGAUACAAUAAUUCGGACAGGUUAUCGAACACGGCUAUUGAUAUUGAAAGUAUCUACAGUUUAAAAUCGAUUAAACAAAAACUAGGUGUUUUUGCGCGGAAGCUCUUCAUAUCUACAUGCGGAGUGCACACCUGGAUGCCGCUUUCGACAUGAAAUAGCACAAAGGAUAUUUGCAUAAGCAUUAGAAGGGAAGUUAAAUUGAGAACGGUAACACAACUCACGAUCAUGUGUGGAAACACAUUCGUAUAUAUACAAAGGCUACUUUUAUAUGAUACGAUAUUUUGCAUGUAAGUCCACCUACGGAUAACUGACGCUGUUUAUAUUUUGUUUGUCUAAAGUAGUAUUCAUUGAAGUGUCUCUCGCGAAAAGCUGCCGUCAAUGAAUACAUAUUCCGUUAUCUAUUAUUAUAUAUCUACAUAUUAUUGUUGUCUAAGUAGGCAAUGUCUGACGAUAGCUGACAAUGCGAUACAGAAUGGAUUAUUUGUUCUCUGCUGUAACGCCUGUGCAUUGACGCAUACGUCGGAAAUCAAAUCGACUGCCCUACAACGGCAAAGGACCAUAAAAAAACUAUGUUUUAUCAAAGCUAUCUAGUAGAAAAGACCAAAACUAUUUGUGUAUAGCGUGUGUGCCUCAACAACUGUUAUGGGGCUAUCAAAAUUGAUGCUCAAGUGUAGAAUGCACAGAUAGUAUAUGAGUGUUUCGCUGCUUGCGCAACGUAUGUCGUAUUGUCAUAAUGAUGAUUUAUCAAUCCCAUUGCAAAGAAUGGCAACUUCCAAUCAAAACUAUGUGCAUAUCUUCAACGAUUAUUGUUUGCAUUUGUGUCUGGCGUUGUUAUGUACACACGGCGUUGACCAGCUGACUACGUUGGCAAUUUAUCUAAAACUGGACGUAUAUUUUCGUAAAGCUUCCCCGUAAAACUGUUUGGUACAACCAGUACUACUACUAGUACGCUCUAAAAGCUUAAACAAACAGCUGUAGUGAUAAUAAAGCUUAAUGAUACUGUAAAAAUUACGCGUCGGGGUGGUCAAACGAAAUAUG